CCUACGGGCGGCAGCAGUGAGGAAUAUUGGUCAAUGGCCGGAAGGCUGAACCAGCCAAGCCGCGUGAAGGACGAAGGUGCCAAGCAUUGUAAACUUCUUUUGUCAAGGGACAAAAUCAGGCUCGAGCGCCUGACCGAGGGUACUUUAAGAAAAAGCAUCGGCUAACUCCGGGCCAGCAGCCGCGGUAAUACGGAGGAUUCGAGCUUUAGCCGGAUUUAUUGGGGUUAAAGGGUGCGUAGGGGGACUGUUAAGUUAGCGGUAAAAGCCCGGGGCUCAACCCCGGCGAGCCGGUGAAACUGGGUGUCUUGAGAUGUCGAGAGGUAUGCGGAAUGCGGAGUGUAGCGGUGAAAUGCUUAGAUAUUGCGCAGAACUCCGAUUGCGAAGGCAGCAUACCGGCGGCGAUCUGACGCUGAGGCACGAAAGCGUGGGUAUCGAACAGGAUUAGAUACCCUUGUAGUC
rnacentral:rRNA from 1 species